CAGAGGAAAAAACAACCCAUCACCAUUGUUGAGUAGUAGGUUUACCUGGUGCUGGUUUUAAUUAAUAGAUUGCUGUGUACAGUUUCAAGGCUGAUAGUGUUCAUAUGAGCCAAGAGCCUGCAUCGUGAUUUCAACUACUCAUUACAACAGGAGAGCACUAUAUCAUUUAUAUCAAGGUUCAAGAAGGCCAGCGAUGUGCUAUAGUAGGACAAGAAUAAACUAUAUAGGUGAAAAGGACUUCAAAGUAAGCACAACACCAAGUUUAACAUGCAGGUUUUAGGUCAUGGAGUCUCUUACAUAUCUACAGUGUUGAAGGACGAGUAUAGUGCAAAUGUUUACCUGGCAUGCAUGAAUUCAUUCUUAUCAACAUUAUGUUCAGUCUGUAAUAUGCAAAUUCCCUGACAGACGUCAAGAAGCCCUUGUGUAGUUCAUCAAACUUCCCUUUAAUUUCCCAUUUUUUUUUUAAUUUUUCCAUCUUCUUGUAUCUUCACCAUGUAGUACUGUCCUUGGUAAUAAACAGUGGAAGCAUUGUGUGAAUGUGGAACUUAGCAUAGCAGCUAGCAAAAAUAUAGUUCACAAAUGAAUAACAGCCAUUUUAUUAUUAUGUGAUCUGAUAAUGUACUUGCUAUGUGCUUCAACUAUACAGAGAAGAAAUAUAUGGAUUCUUACUGGAUUAUCUUGCUGAUGUCUGAUUUGGAAGCUAUAAAUAAUGGAUUUAAACCUGGAGUAGAGAUUUUUUUGUACUCUGCCAUUCAUGCAUAUUCUGUAAAUGUAUUAUAUGAAUAAAUGUAUGAAAUAUA